CGGGCUGUGGCUCAGCCUGGUAGAGCGCUUCGUUCGGGACGAAGAGGUCGUGGGUUCGAAUCCCGCCAGCCCGACCA
rnacentral:tRNA from 6 species